CCUACGGGGGGCAGCAGUGAGGAAUAUUGGUCAAUGGACGCAAGCCUGAACCAGCCAUGCCGCGUGCAGGAAGACGGCUCUAUGAGUUGUAAACUGCUUUUGUACGAGGGUAAACGCAGAUACGCGUAUCUGUCUGAAAGUAUCGUACGAAUAAGGAUCGGCUAACUCCGUGCCAGCAGCCGCGGUAAUACGGAGGAUUCAAGCGUUAUCCGGAUUUAUUGGGUUUAAAGGGUGCGUAGGCGGGCGGAUAAGUUAGAGGUGAAAUGCCGAGGCUCAACUUCGGAAUUGCCUCGGAUACUGUUCGGCUAGAGAGUAGUUGCGGUAGGCGGAAUGUAUGGUGUAGCGGUGAAAUGCUUAGAGAUCAUACAGAACACCGAUUGCGAAGGCAGCUUACCAAACUACGACUGACGUUGAGGCACGAAAGCGUGGGGAGCAAACAGGAUUAGAUACCCGAGUAGUC
rnacentral:rRNA from 1 species